rnacentral:rRNA from 1 species
UGACUGCGUACCUUUUGUAUAAUGGGUCAGCGACUUAUAUUCUGUAGCAAGGUUAACCGAAUAGGGGAGCCGAAGGGAAACCGAGUCUUAACUGGGCGUUAAGUUGCAGGGUAUAGACCCGAAACCCGGUGAUCUAGCCAUGGGCAGGUUGAAGGUUGGGUAACACUAACUGGAGGACCGAACCGACUAAUGUUGAAAAAUUAGCGGAUGACUUGUGGCUGGGGGUGAAAGGCCAAUCAAACCGGGAGAUAGCUGGUUCUCCCCGAAAGCUAUUUAGGUAGCGCCUCGUGAAUUCAUCUCCGGGGGUAGAGCACUGUUUCGGCAAGGGGGUCAUCCCGACUUACCAACCCGAUGCAAACUGCGAAUACCGGAGAAUGUUAUCACGGGAGACACACGGCGGGUGCUAACGUCCGUCGUGAAGAGGGAAACAACCCAGACCGCCAGCUAAGGUCCCAAAGUCAUGGUUAAGUGGGAAACGAUGUGGGAAGGCCCAGACAGCCAGGAUGUUGGCUUAGAAGCAGCCAUCAUUUAAAGAAAGCGUAAUAGCUCACUGGUCGAGUCGGCCUGCGCGGAAGAUGUAACGGGGCUAAACCAUGCACCGAAGCUGCGGCAGCGACGCUUAUGCGUUGUUGGGUAGGGGAGCGUUCUGUAAGCCUGCGAAGGUGUGCUGUGAGGCAUGCUGGAGGUAUCAGAAGUGCGAAUGCUGACAUAAGUAACGAUAAAGCGGGUGAAAAGCCCGCUCGCCGGAAGACCAAGGGUUCCUGUCCAACGUUAAUCGGGGCAGGGUGAGUCGACCCCUAAGGCGAGGCCGAAAGGCGUAGUCGAUGGGAAACAGGUUAAUAUUCCUGUACUUGGUGUUACUGCGAAGGGGGGACGGAGAAGGCUAUGUUGGCCGGGCGACGGUUGUCCCGGUUUAAGCGUGUAGGCUGGUUUUCCAGGCAAAUCCGGAAAAUCAAGGCUGAGGCGUGAUGACGAGGCACUACGGUGCUGAAGCAACAAAUGCCCUGCUUCCAGGAAAAGCCUCUAAGCAUCAGGUAACAUCAAAUCGUACCCCAAACCGACACAGGUGGUCAGGUAGAGAAUACCAAGGCGCUUGAGAGAACUCGGGUGAAGGAACUAGGCAAAAUGGUGCCGUAACUUCGGGAGAAGGCACGCUGAUAUGUAGGUGAAGUCCCUCGCGGAUGGAGCUGAAAUCAGUCGAAGAUACCAGCUGGCUGCAACUGUUUAUUAAAAACACAGCACUGUGCAAACACGAAAGUGGACGUAUACGGUGUGACGCCUGCCCGGUGCCGGAAGGUUAAUUGAUGGGGUUAGCGCAAGCGAAGCUCUUGAUCGAAGCCCCGGUAAACGGCGGCCGUAACUAUAACGGUCCUAAGGUAGCGAAAUUCCUUGUCGGGUAAGUUCCGACCUGCACGAAUGGCGUAAUGAUGGCCAGGCUG